rnacentral:rRNA from 1 species
UACGGAGGGUGCAAGCGUUAUCCGGAUUUACUGGGUUUAAAGGGUGCGUAGGUGGGUAGGUAAGUCAGUGGUGAAAUCUCCGAGCUUAACUCGGAAACUGCCAUUGAUACUCUCUAUCUUGAAUAUCCUGGAGGUGAGCGGAAUAUGUCAUGUAGCGGUGAAAUGCUUAGAUAUGACAUAGAACACCAAUUGCGAAGGCAGCUCACUACGGGAUUAUUGACACUGAGGCACGAAAGCGUGGGGAGCAAACAGG